rnacentral:misc_RNA from 1 species
AAGUCGUAACAAGGUUUCCGUAGGUGAACCUGCGGAAGGAUCAUUAGAAAUUUUUUAUGUAAUCAAAAUUUCAAUCGUUAUAAAAAAAAAUUUUUAUUUAUAUAAAAUAAAAAAAGACAACUUUCAACAACGGAUCUCUUGGCUCUU